CAGCAGCCGCGGUAAUACGUAGGUGGCAAGCGUUGUCCGGAAUUAUUGGGCGUAAAGGGCUCGCAGGCGGUUUCUUAAGUCUGAUGUGAAAGCCCCGGCUCAACCGGGGAGGGUCAUUGGAAACUGGGAAACUUGAGUGCAGAAGGGGAGAGUGGAAUUCCACGUGUAGCGGUGAAAUGCGUAGAGAUGUGGAGGAACACCAGUGGCGAAGGCGACUCUCUGGUCUGUAACUGACGCUGAGGAGCGAAAGCGUGGGGAGCGAACAGGAUUAGAUACCCGAGUAGUCCCUGUCUCUUAUACA
rnacentral:rRNA from 1 species